rnacentral:rRNA from 1 species
AAACAACAGGGAUUGCUCAGUAACGGCGAGUGAAGCGGCAAAAGCUCAAAUUUGAAACCCUCGGGAUUGUAAUUUGAAGAUUUGGCAUUGGAGAAAGCUAACCCAAGUUGCUUGGAAUAGUACGUCAUAGAGGGUGACAACCCCGUCUGGCUAACCGUUCUCCAUGUAUUGCCUUAUCAAAGAGUCGAGUUGUUUGGGAAUGCAGCUCAAAGUGGGUGGUAAACUCCAUCUAAAGCUAAAUACUGGUGAGAGACCGAUAGCGAACAAGUACUGUGAAGGAAAGGUGAAAAGAACUUUGAAAAGAGAGUGAAAUAGUAUGUGAAAUUGUUGAUAGGGAAGGAAAUGAGUGGAGAGUGGCCGAGGUUUCAGCCGCCCCUCGUGGGCGGUGUACUGCCGACGCCGAGUCAUCGAUAGCGAGACGAGGGUUACAAAUGGGAGCGCCUUUCGGGCGUUCUCCCCUAACCCUCCACACUGCCACCGACUGACAUAAUCCACCCA